UACGUAGGGGGCAAGCGUUGUCCGGAAUCAUUGGGCGUAAAGAGCGUGUAGGCGGCUCGAUAAGUCCGCUGUGAAAGUCCAGGGCUCAACCCUGGAAGGCCGGUGGAAACUGUCGGGCUAGAGUCCGGAAGAGGCGAGUGGAAUUCCCGGUGUAGCGGUGAAAUGCGCAGAUAUCAGGAGGAACACCGGUGGCGAAGGCGGGUCUCUGGGCCGAAACUGACGCUGAGGAGCGAAAGCGUGGGGAGCGAACAGG
rnacentral:rRNA from 1 species